rnacentral:misc_RNA from 1 species
GGCAUUAGGCAACAAUGGGACAACGAAGCGGUGAGCGACGUCCAAGACUCGCUAGGUCAAGAGUGGACCUACGCGGAGCGCAAAGAACUAGAACGCGCCUGUCAAGCCGCCUACUUCGUGGCUGUAGUCAUAUCACAAAUGAUGAACGGAAUUAUUUGUAAGACAAGAUUCAAUUCUCUAUUUCACGUCGGUAUGAAAAACAACGUUUUGAAUGUGGGUUUAGUAUUUGAAUUCUCUCUUGCAUGUAUAGUAUGCUACGUUCCAGGUAUCAACACGUUUUUUAGAACGUACCCUCUACGUUUGAAGUGGUAAGAAAUUUUUAUUUAUCUAAACCGAUUUCCAACAGUUAU